GCAUCACAGGUCUGUGGCUGAAAGUCGAUGGCAGUCGCAGCAAACGAUCCACGUAACGCAGUCAAAAGGGCUGUUGAGCAUGGUGCGGUUUAGAAGUAAGUCCUGCCGGGAAAACCGAGAGAGUGAGUUGUGAGAGGCAAGCGCCGGGUAGCUAAAGCUCCAGCAGGCGAGUGUGGGGUCAAAAGCCAGGUCAGCUGUAGAUGC
rnacentral:ncRNA from 1 species